UAAUUUUUUAUCCUACAAUUAUUGCUUCAAAGUUUGGUAAUAAAAAAAACAUAUUCUCAAGUAGAAUUCGAUGAAAUUAGAGGAGAAUGGGCUACUUUUGUGCUACAACUAAUCAUGAAUCAUGUUGAUGCAUCAUGAUCACCAUGCAUGGUAUACACUCUUGGGAGGGUGAAAUGGAGAAUAAAAAGAAAGAAGAAGGCAACAAGAUUUUGGGUUUUUAAAUGCAACUCUUAUGUCAUACGUUGUAGGACAUAAACGUUACUUUAAUUGCAAUUGAGAAAUUUAGAUUUUUAGAUGGGACUUCUAUGUCAUUUUAUGGUUA